rnacentral:tRNA from 1 species
GGCUUCAUCGUCUAGCGGUCAGGACACAAGCCUUUCACGCUUGAAACGAGGGUUCGAGUCCCUCUGAAGCCA